CACUCGGGCUCGCCUCGCCUCCCCCUCGUCUCAAUUUAGUGGGGAUUGGAAAAUUUGAGUGAUCGAUCGAUAAACUAUUAUUCAUAAAAGUAUUGGAGUGGUGUGAUAUAAUUAUGUUAAAUUUAAAGUGAACAAUAGUUUAACAGUAUUGGUGAUGUUUACCUUAGGCUUAAUGUUAUUUCGCAAAAAAACUGUUAAAGACCUCACGUUUACAGUAGUUAUUCGUCAAAAAUCCAGAAAGCUUCAAACGUGUUUGAAGCUUUCUGUUUCGGAUUAAUGGAACUAUGAACCUGGACCCUUUAACGUUUAGCUUAUCACAAAUCAAUUAUCUCGUUGCUAAUCUAAACAAAAAGAACUUUAAGCAGGUCAAUCAGGAGUUGACUCAGAUUAUCAGUCUCUAUGGCUUGGAGGCAGAGAAUCAAGUAUUGAGGAGCCUGCUUACUGAGGCAGUAAAGACUUCGUGGGAUAACGAUCGUCCUGGGCCUGUUAAUAGUAUACACGCAACCCUCUUAACGCAAUACCUGUCCUGUCUACUCAACCAUCCGGCUAAGUCUACUGUUGUCUGCAGUAUUAUAGACAACCCAUCCAAGUCUGUGCAAAAGGCCUUAAAACCCACCAACACAUUACUUAGUCGAAUUGCAAGAUUGCUGAAGUUCACUACAGCACAGGAUGUUGCCUUCUCGUUAGUUCUGAGAAAAACCUCGCCAAAGCCUGAAAUAACAUCCUUUGCUAAACAACAUCUCAAGAAGCGUUUUUUGGACUUUGUACAGUGUUACCUUGAUGCAGAACGUGGGCAUCAAGUGGAGCGUGCAGGUCUGCAGGAGUGCAGUCCUGAGGUAUUACAAACUCUAUUAACGAGUCUCGCGUUCGAGAACUUUCGGUUAGCGGCCGUUACCAAGGAUUUGUUUCUAAAAAAAUUGCGAGUAGACUUUCCGCGCGAAGUAGUGCCCAUUGUGCUCGCUCCGCUCUUGUAUCCUGACGAUACAAGCACACCACUCGAGGAAAUGACGACGUCCGAUGACAUGGCGGCUGCCAUGAUGGACAAUUCUCUCGGAGAAAUCAUCCGAGAGAUUGGAUACUCCUUUACAACAUCUGUAGAGGACUGCAAAAAUAACAUGAUAAACUUUGGGGCGCGAGAGCCGACAGCCAUCGAUAUCGCUCGAAUAAUAUCGAUGAUGGUGAGGUUUCAUGCCACUCUGCAAGAGGGUCCUCUGAUUCAAACACCAGGGAAUUUUUGGAUGAAUCACGAAACUAAGAAAGAGCCUGUUCCACAUGGACAUCCAGAGACAUGGAAUGCUGAGGUGUUUGUGCAAACAUUAAAAGAACUGGCCUCUAAUCUUAAUUGGAAGGAAGUUAUUCUUCAGCUUGAUCACCCAGAGUUUGUAGUACCGGACAGACAAGGGCUAAGCUUGCUCUUCACGAUUUUGCGCUUGGGUCUCCAGAGCGCCGGCUACCCUGCCAAUAUAUUCCCAGUAGAAUAUCUGUGCCGACGAUGGACAAACUUAGAAGGCCAAAUGAGUCUACUAACAAACAUACUCAAAUAUCCAGAUAUAUUCAGUUUUGCUGACCAUCCAUUUCAUCCAGUGUCGAUUGACCUUUUGAAAUCUGCUCCUGAAAUAGAUAACAAAGAAAUAUCCACAUGGAGAUGCCUCUAUUUGGUAGAACUUUUACUGUAUGCGUCAGAGAGAGGAUAUUACAUGCAAGUCCAUGAACUCUUCAAGUUCCCAUUACAAAACUGCCCAGACAUAUUAUUAUUGGCAUUACUGCAAAUCAGUCCACCCAUUACAGUAUUUAGACAAGAGUUGCUGACAACACUAAUUCCCAUAUUUCUUGGCAAUCAUCCCAACUCUGGAAUAAUUUUACAGCAUGCUUGGCAUACGCAGAAUCCCAACAUCAAACCUAUUAUAAUGCAUGCGAUGGCAGAUUGGUACAUACGCGGGGAUUGUGAUCAAUCUAAGUUGUCCAGAAUUUUAGACGUCGCGCAGGAUUUAAAGGCGCUGUCGUUAUUGCUAAAUGUUCAAUCGUUCCCAUUCGUAAUAGAUUUGGCCUGUCUAGCAUCAAGGCGAGAGUAUCUCAAACUCGACAAAUGGCUCACUGACAAAAUCAGAGACCAUGGAGAAACCUUUGUUUCGGCUAUGGUGAAGUUUCUGCAACGCCGAUGUCCUCCAAUGCUUGGAAAAGCUCCAGAGGAGCAGCUGCCCAAGGCUGCGCAGUUGCCACCAGAAACUAUCGGAACUAUGUUAACCUGCUUACAACUCUGCAUACCCAAUGUGUUACAAGAGUUACAAGAGGCAAUAUAUAACGUAAUAGCAAGUUGCCAAACAUUGAUAAUGACCAAGACGAGACCAACUAUUGCUGGAAUUGCGCGUCCGCAUACAAGAGUGUUGGAGACUCCUUUCAAUCCUGCACUGGGAGUAGGGGGGCAACUGUUUACACCUCAUGUGGAUGCUAUUGCAAGCUUGGCGCCUAACGUAGCCAAUUUAACGCUAGGUGCACCUGCGAACACUGCGUUUGCCAUGCCUGGAACCUUAGGACCAUUGGUUGCUGCACCUGGGUCUCCCUCGCGACUUCUCGGUGCCGGGCCGAAUAGCCCCUUCGCCAUAAUGCCGAUGCCGCAACACCCCACUGUUGCAAAUAUGACAGCUCUAGCAAGAAUGCCUCCAAUGCCAGCAAUGGACAAACCACGCCUGCCAGAGCCGAUACAUUUCCCAGAUAUAAUGCACAGUGUUUCAAAAGAAAUCGAAGACGAAGCUAAUGGUUACUUUCAACGAAUUUACAAUCAUCCCCCACAUCCAACUCUGUCUAUAGAUGAAGUGUUAGACAUGCUAAAGAAGUUUCAAGAUUCGCCCAAGACCCGAGAACGAGAAGUUUUCUCGUGCAUGCUACGAAACCUGUUUGAGGAGUACAGAUUCUUCCCUCAAUAUCCCGAUAAGGAACUCCAUAUCACCGCACAGUUGUUUGGUGGGAUAAUAGAGAAAGGUUUAGUUCCCAGCUAUGUGUCUUUAGGGCUGGCCUUGAGAUUUGUGUUGGAUGCUCUCCGCAAACCUGAAGGAUCUAAAAUGUACUAUUUUGGUGUAGCCGCUCUGGAUAGAUUCAAGUCACGUCUGAAGGACUAUCACAAAUACUGCGAGCAUGUUAGGGCCAUUCCACACUUCAAUGAGUUCCCGCCACAUCUUAUAGAAUACAUUGAGUAUGGUCUUCAGAGUCAGGAACCACCCACAAAGCCACAGGGUGCAGUCCUGCCUGCAAGUCUUGCCGCCAUGUUAAACCAGACACCAGUGGUAACAGUUUCAGCACCUUAUAGGAAUGUGGUUUGCGCACCAAAUCCCAUCUCGGUCAUUUCAAAGAUCGCAAACUGUGCCGGGGGCAUAGGCAGCCGGCCCUCCAUUGCUAAUGCCACGAACAUCGAUACACUUCUCACUGCUACUGAUAUAGAUGACAAAAUUGUGGCUCCACCUGAAGCAAUCCAAGACAAGACGGCCUUUAUUUUCAAUAAUCUCAGUCAAUUGAAUCUGCCAACCAAAUGUGAAGAAUUAAAGGAAGUAUUAACAGAAGAAUACCACAAUUGGUUAUCGCAGUAUCUGGUGAUGAAAAGGGCCUCAAUAGAGCUCAAUUUCCAUGCACUCUAUUCCAACUUCCUCGACGUUCUUAAAAUCCGCGAAAUAAAUAAAAUGGUUACAAAAGAGACAUUUCGCAAUAUCAGGGUAUUACUGCGUUCUGACAAAGGCAUAGCUAACUUCUCUGACCGAUCUUUGUUGAAAAACCUUGGUCAUUGGUUAGGCAUGCUCACAUUAGCCCGCAGUCAGCCCAUUCUUUACCUAGAUCUCGACCUCAAAGCACUUUUACUCGAAGCUUAUCACAAAGGCCAGCAGGAGCUACUCUACGUGGUGCCGUUUAUUGCGAAGAUCUUGGAGUCUUGCUCCAAGAGCAUCGUAUUUAAACCCCCAAAUCCAUGGACAAUGUCCCUGAUGAACGUGUUAGCUGAAUUACAUCAAGAGCCCGAUCUAAAACUAAACUUAAAGUUUGAGAUAGAAGUGCUUUGUAAAAACUUGAGCUUAGAUAUAACUGAUUUGAAACCAUCUCUAUAUUUAAAAGACCCCGAAAAGUUAAGAACGAUCGAGUUUCAACUUUCACAACCCAAACCCCCCAAAGAGACUGCGACGACCGUACUACCGGUUCAUCAGGCUAUAAUAGCGCCCCAGCAGCUACAAAUGAUGCCACCUCCUCCGCCAAUGAUCCCCGUCGAGGACUUGGUGGGGACGGCACCGACGCCGACGCUCGUACCCGGCGACCCGGGCCUGAUGGGCGUGCUGGGCCUACCCGAGCCCCGGUUCAACUACCUCGACGUGAACGUCUCUUCCACCUCCGCCUUCGGGCACAAGAUCAUAUUCAACCCGCACAUCAUCCUGUUCCAAAACUAUCCACACUUGAAACAGUUCGUGAAGCCCGCUAUCGAGAGAUCCAUACAAGAGUGGAUACACCCGGUCGUGGACAGGUCGAUCAAGUACGCACUGACGACGUGCGAGCAAAUCAUACGGAAGGACUUCGCGUUCGACCCCGACGAGACGCGGAUGCGCACCUGCGCGCAUCACAUGAUGCGAAAUCUGACUGCUGGCAUGGCCAUGAUCACGUGCCGCGAGCAGAUCCUCAGCACGAUCAGUACAAACUUGAAGGCUGCGUUCAUAACUGCUUUGAUACCGACCGCUCCCCAACAGCUGAACACAUUGCAGAAAGACAUCAUAGAGAGCGCCGCUGCGGUUCUAGCGACGGAAAACAUGGAGCUCGCAUGCGCAUUUAUACAGAAGACGGCUGUGGAGAAGGCACUACCAGAGCUCGAUAAGAGGCUGAUGAACGAUUAUGAAAUGAGGAAAAUUGCCAGACAGGAAGCCCGAAGAUACUACGACCCUAUGGUACUUACUUACCAAACUGAAAGGAUACCGGAGCGAGUGAGGCUGCGCGUCAGCGGCCCGACCGAUAUGCAGAUAACCGUGUAUGAGGAGUUCGCCUGUAACAUCCCAGGUUUCAUGCCAGUGCGCGAUGCCGGCAUGUUCAUCCCUAAACCUACUCAGGAGCAAAUUCCUCAGAUGACUUUUGCGCCAGCUGUGAAUCAGACUCAGGUGUAUGGACACGAUGAGAUGACUACACUUAUGUCCGCCGCAGAGUUGUUCCUGUCAACUGCCGUGCAGUUUCCCGUGUUCGCAGUACAAGCUACAAACAUGCACAAACUGUUUGAUUCCCUCGCAAUGGCCAGACGAAACCGUGACAUCGUGUCUGGCUUUACACUCCUACAGAGGGCUGUGGAGGGCCUCUUGGACGGUCACAUUGUCCCGGCCGGAGGCAGCCCUGAACAUGUAGAACUGAUGACUCGUUACCGAGACAUCCACCUUCGAGUCCUCAAAUUGUUAGAAGACAGCAGGGUGUAUGGCCACGCAUGGACUACUAAACAGAUCACUUACUGUGUGACCGAAUGCAGGGAUGAGCUUAAGUACAAUUUGGAAGCUAUUGAUUGCCUUGUCAGGAAUCAUUUGAUUAACUUGCCACAGUAUGAUAUCGCGCUUGCACAGUUGAUGGACAACGGGAAUAACUAUGUGGCUGUUUCAUUUGCGAUGCAACUCGUUCAACUUUACCUUGUGGACGAUCGCAAUGAUAUAUAUGCCACAGAGUCCGACCUGUACCAUUGCACUGAUACUCUGGUCAGGCUGACCUCACAGACGAGGCCUCCGCCCGAGGGCCUAGCAACUCUGAUCGAGACAAUCCGGAUCAAUCAGGACCCAAGCAGCUUCUUGGGGGAAAGGUCUCCAUUGGGGCCAACCUCUCACAUCCAUAAUGGCAUUUUACAAGUACGAUCCCGCGAAUACGACGACCCGCACGGUCUCCAAGAGAAAACUGAGAACCUCCUCCGCGAAUGGAGGAACAUCCUUCUCGGCCAGCUCACAGAGAUCGAGCUCGCGCAGAACUUCAACAUAUACGUCCACAGGAUGAAUAUGAACGGCAUCCUCAAGUCGGAUGACAUGAUCACACGGUUCUUCCGCAUCGCCACACAGAUGUGCAUCGAGAAUGUGUACCAGCUCCUCAACGAGGACCGCAUGAAUCCCCCCCCUGUGCCCCCCAAGAGGGAGAAGUACUACACCAUGUGCGAUUCAUUCAUCAAACUUGUGUCCUUGCUCAUAAAGAAUACAGCCGACAAUGGCAACCCGACGCCGAAGCUUAACUUGUUGAAUAAGAUACUGGGUAUCAUAGCAGGUUGUUUGCUUCAAGAUCAAGAAGAGCAUGGAGUUAAUUUCCAACAACUUCCAUACCAUCGUCUGCUUCAAAUAUUGUUCCUUGAUAUGAAUAUGGCAGAGCCGGUCCUGGAGUCUAUGAAUUACCAGAUUUUGACUGCUUUCUGCCACACGCUACGUAUCAUAAGACCUAGCGUCGCACCCAGUUUCUGCUACGCGUGGCUCGAGAUAGUGGCGCAUAGAUCCUUUAUAAACAGGGUUCUUGCUGUAACGCCGCAACAAAAGUCUAUCAUGGAAGUAUUGGGAUGGGGUAUGUAUUCGACGCUCCUGAUCGACCUGUUCAAGUUCCUCGACCCGUUCCUACGUAACACGGAGCUGGCCCAGCCGGUCAUGAUGCUGUACAAGGGCAGUCUCAAGGUGCUGUUGGUGCUUCUGCACGACUUCCCCGAAUUCCUGUGCGACUACCACUACGGUUUCUGCGAUGAGAUACCGCCAAACUGCAUACAGAUGAGGAAUCUCAUCCUGUCUGCCUUCCCGAGGAACAUGAGGCUGCCCGAUCCGUUCACGCCGAAUCUGAAAGUGGAUCUACUGGCUGAGAUAAGCCUGGCGCCUCGGGCCGUUAUCAACUACUCGACGAUCAUACCCUCGUCCCAGUUUAAGAAGGAUCUGGACGCGUACAUAAAGGCUCGCGCGCCGGUCACUUUCCUGUCAGAGCUACGUAGCAACAUGCAGGUGCUCAACGAACCAGGCCGCAGAUACAACAGCCAGCUGAUAAACGCUGUGGUCCUGUACGUGGGGACUCAGGCCAUCGCCCACAUCAGGGCCAAGGGGCAGACACCGAACAUGACGACCAUAGCUCACUCAGCACACAUGGACAUUUUCCAAAACUUCACCGUAGACUUUGACUACGAAGGACGGUAUUUGUUCCUGAAUGCGAUUGCAAACCAAUUGCGUUACCCGAACAGCCACACGCACUACUUCAGCUGUUGCCUGCUGUAUCUGUUUGCGGAGGCGAACUCGGAGGCUGUACAGGAGCAGAUCACCAGAAUGCUGCUCGAGCGACUGAUCGUGAACCGACCCCACCCGUGGGGACUCCUUAUCACGUUCAUCGAACUCAUCAAAAAUCCCAUCUACAAAUUUUGGACUCACGAAUUUGUACACUGCGCCCCGGAGAUCGAAAAUUACAUUAAUAUCAUUCAAAGUAACUAUGCAUAACAAACAUGCAUAUACGAGUUAAACAAAAUCAAAACAUUUGGGAAGGCACAUAAAAAACUAAUUGUUCGCAUCGGUCGCGCGAUCCUGCAUUGCAGAGAAGGGUGGGGCUGAACGUGAGUUGACCGAGUAGCGAGAAGCCCUGUGGGAG
rnacentral:misc_RNA from 1 species